AGAGUUUGAUCCUGGCUCAGAAUGAACGCUGGCGGCGUGCUUUACACAUGCAAGUCGAGCGAGGCGGCCCGCAAGGGCCAGUCGAGCGGCGAACGGGUGAGUAACGCGUGGAUAACCUGCCCAGAGGUGGGGGAUAACCCGGGGAAACUCGGGCUAAUACCGCAUAUGACCGAGAGGUCAAAGGGGGCUCGCAAGGGCUCUCGCCAUUGGAGGGGUCCGCGUUCGAUUAGCUAGUUGGUAGGGUAAUGGCCUACCAAGGCGACGAUCGAUAGCCGGCCUGAGAGGGUGAUCGGCCACACUGGAACUGAGACACGGUCCAGACUCCUACGGGAGGCAGCAGUGGGGAAUUUUGCGCAAUGGGCUAACGCCUGACGCAGCAACGCCGCGUGGAGGAUGAAGGUCUUUGGAUUGUAAACUCCUGUCAGCAGGGAAAAAGCGACCUGACCUCAUACGUCAGGAAGUUGAUUGUACCUGCAGAGGAAGCCCCGGCUAACUCUGUGCCAGCAGCCGCGGUAAUACAGAGGGGGCAAGCGUUAUUCGGAAUUAUUGGGCGUAAAGGGCGCGUAGGCGGCUUGACAAGUGGAAGGUGAAAUCCCUCGGCUUAACCGAGGAACUGCCCUCCAAACUGUUUGGCUUGAGACCGGGAGAGGUGAGUGGAAUUCCCAGUGUAGCGGUGAAAUGCGUAGAUAUUGGGAGGAACACCAGUGGCGAAGGCGGCUCACUGGACCGGUACUGACGCUGAGGCGCGAAAGCGUGGGGAGCAAACGGGAUUAGAUACCCCGGUAGUCCACGCCGUAAACGAUGAGUGCUUGGUGUAGCGGGUAUCGACCCCUGCUGUGCCGAAGUCAACACAUUAAGCACUCCGCCUGGGGAGUACGGUCGCAAGGCUGAAACUCAAAGGAAUUGACGG
rnacentral:rRNA from 1 species